GAAAAGAAAGAAAUUAGAAAAUGGGAGAAAAAGUGCAGAAAAAGUACAGAAGGAUGAUUUGCCCAGUGAUUUGCCCAAGAUCACCAGCUAAACUACUCCAAUCACUGCCCAGAUCAAGCUAAAGCAGAAACCCGGAGGCAACAGACAGCAGUGAUAUGGGCAGUAAUUUGCCCAAGAAACUCGAAGAUCACUGGCCAAAUCUCUCGCAGAGACAUAGAGGAUUGACUCACAGAGAAGCGAUCUGGUCAGUGAUUUGCCCAAUCACUUGAAGAAACUGGUCAAAUCACCGGGCAAAUCACUUUGACAGCAGAAAAUACAGCAGAGCGGGAAAUUGUUCAGGAAACCGAAUUUCAAGUUUUCAGAAGUCCAAAUCCAACUCAAUCACUACCAAAACAAUUCCAAAGAGCCACAUAAGAGUUUCUCACCUAAGGAAUUCCAGUUGCAAUUAAAUUCAACAUCAAAAGAGGAAUCACAAGUCAAAUUAAAAAGGGAUUUCAAAACCCUAGAAGGAUGGAACUCUUCAGCUAUAAAAAGGGCAGCCUCCAAACCAGCAAAGGCAUCGACGGAUCAGCAACUCAACUCGCCAGAAACUCUCCAGCAUCUUCUUCCUUUCUUUUUCUUUUCAUCUUUUUGUGUAUUUAGUCCACCAUGAGUGGCUAAACUCCUUAUUUUCUAGUUGAAGUUGAGAAUAUUCAGAUUUGUGAUGAAUUGGGAGGUUUAAUACUCCAUUGUUGAACUCUUAUUUGUUUCAAUAUUUAUGCAAUCUGAUCUUUUCUACAAGUAUUACUUUGCUUUUAGAAUCAAUAAGGGCCCAUUGCUUUUAAAUUGCUUAAGUAAUAUUGUUUGAAUGGUUUAGGUCCGUAAUUGCUUGGAUUGUUCAAAUACACAUUCAAUCAGGUUGCAUAACCUAGCCUUGACCACGCGGUUGGCAAGGAUAGAAUUGGGUUUCUCUAAGUCUUAAUGCGAUCAACAGUUGUUCGAUGCUAAAUGCCCCAAGGACGUUCCUUGGCAACUUGCUGAUUAGUG
rnacentral:lncRNA from 1 species